UUUUUGUUGAGAAACCAUUGGAGACAUUAGAAAGCAAUGCAAAUGUUGAUUAACAACUUCUGCAUUUCCUGAAAACAUUGCCUGAUGGGAACAGAAAGUCUUGCAAAGAAGCAUCUCCUUGGCUGCGCCAGCUAACCUUCUGCUAAAUCUUCAAGAGAAGCUGUUCAGAGCACAGCUGGUGAAGAGGCUACAAAUCUGUAUUUUCAGGCCUUGGGAAAGGACAAUAGGUUCUGUGCUAACAAUCAUUUCCUUAUUAUUAACAACCCACUGCUUCGCUGGAAGGAGUGCUGAUAACCAGUCAAAGUCAACUGUCCUGGCAUACCAGAAGGAUGGAGCCAUCGGAAGCUGCACCCCACAUGACACCUUGGGGGGAUGUGGAUUUGUCAAUCCUGACUGGUCCCUUGGGGGGAAUGUUUUGGGGAUGCUUUCUGUAUGUGAUUUUCUCGCCUAUAGCCUCAGACCUUGCUUUUCUUUGGUUGCAUUCACUUCAUACUCAGUAAAAGUACCUUUCUCUACAAAAA